UGCCGCCUGCAGUCAAAGACUGUUUGAAAUCUCCAAAUUCUAUCUGAAGGAUCUGAAGACGUCCAGGGGCCUUCAUGAGGAAAUGAUGAAAGCAGCCAGCAGCAAUGCCAAGCAGGUCAUCGACUGGGUUACGGAGCGGGCCUCUAAGUGACGAGGGAACGAUCACUAGUGGUUUUAGACUGGUUUUAUAGUCACGGCAAACCGCAAACAUCAGUGGAAUGUAGUUUCACCACAGGAGACAUCAGUACAGUCUGUCAGGGUGUGAACGUGUGAUUAGCAGGUUUGUUUGUGUCUUAAGAACCUCAGUGACUGUCAGUUGCCAGGCAACCAUUCAUUGUAAUUCCAUUGUUUGUUUGUGUCUUAAGAACCUCGGUGACUAUCAGUUGCCAGGCAACCAUUCAUUGUAAUUCCAUUGUUUGUUUGUGUUUUAAGAACCUCAGUGACUAUCAGUUGCCAGGCAACCAUUCAUUGUAAUUACAUUGUUUGUUUGUGUCUUAAGAACCUCAGUGACUGUCAGUUGCCAGGCAACCAUUCAUUGUAAUUACAUUGUUUGUUUGUGUCUUAAGAACCUCAGUGACUGUCAGUUGCCAGGCAACCAUUCAUUGUAAUUACAUUGUUUGUUUGUGUCUUAAGAACCUCAGUGACUGUCAGUUGCCAGGCAACCAUUCAUUGUAAUUACAUUGUUUGUUUGUGUCUUAAGAACCUCAGUGACUAUCAGUUGCCAGGCAACCAUUCAUUGUAAUUACAUUGUUUGUUUGUGUCUUAAGAACCUCAGUGACUGUCAGUUGCCAGGCAGCCAUUCAUUGUAAUUCCAUUGUUUGUUUUAAUGAG